CGCCUGUGCCAAAUCUCACCUUCAGUUACAGAGGCAACAUUGGCCCUCUCAACUACUUCUCUGAGUUUCAAGGAGUAGACUUGAUUCUUCUUUUGGAUGAAAGCAAUCAAGCGAUCCUCAAGAUCAUAUAUCCUGCAGCAGUUAUCCUUGAAUCCGACCGAGUAGCCUCGAUCAGUCAUCUGAUUCACACUCAGUAGAUUCUGUGAGAGGGUAGGAACAAAAUUUACAUCAGUGAUAA
rnacentral:lncRNA from 1 species